UACGGGGGGGGCAAGCGUUGUUCGGAAUUACUGGGCGUAAAGGGCUUGUAGGUGGCCAACUAAGUCAGACGUGAAAUCCCUCAGCUUAACUGGGGAACUGCUUCUGAUACUGGAUGGCUUGAGUUUGGGAGAGGGAUGCGGAAUUCCAGGUGUAGCGGUGAAAUGCGUAGAUAUCUGGAGGAACACCGGUGGCGAAGGCGGCAUCCUGGACCAACACUGACACUGAAAAGCGAAAGCCAGGGGAGCAAACGGC
rnacentral:rRNA from 1 species